ACUAUUUUGGCAGACUAGUGCAAUAAAUUUAGAAUUUAUUUAUGUAGUUUAUACUACAAAUAGUA
rnacentral:tRNA from 1 species